UUUUUGUAUGAUAAGAAACGCAAAAUCAGAGAAGCUCUUGAAGAGGGGAAGCCAAUUCCAACGGAGUUGAGAAAUGAAGAAGCAUCGCUCCGCAAAGAAAUCGACCUCGAAGAUGAUUACACUGCUAGUAUGUACAUUUUUCAUCUCAGGAUCUGAAAGUGACUGAAAUACUUUGGCUUUCUUUGCCGUUCUCCAUCUCCAACAGAAGAGUGCGACUAUUGACGAUGAAGAUUGAAGAAUGUUUUUUAUUUUUUUGGAUCUAUGUAAAAGUUGUAAUAAAUUGUAAAUUUUAAUGUUUGGAUAUUAAAUUUUAGGGUUUUUUUGUGUGUUAGAUCUAAUUUUUUUGGUUUCAAAUUGUAUAAUAAUAAUGUUCCUUAAUCGUUCUUCUCUUUA